rnacentral:lncRNA from 1 species
GCCAUGUUCACAUUCUUUGUCCUGCUUUGCCGUCUUCUGCUAUGAUUAUGAGGCCUCCCCAGCCAUGUGGAACUGGCCCGUCCUAGAGCCUCGGGGACCACAAUUCUUGUGUCCGGUAGAAUCCACCAUCCUGUGGAAUCUUGUGUGCCCCCUUGUUCUUUAGCAAAGUUUUCUUCAUCAGCCUCAUCACUCACUACAGAUGUUACUUUAAGACAUUCUGGAGCAGCAUCAUGUGCAGGUCAGUGAGUUUCCUGUUUCUUAUUUUGGAUGUUUCACUGAUGUUAAUUCAUCAACGUUGAAUUCAUGACCAACAGCACCAUAACUAGUGCCU